rnacentral:rRNA from 1 species
UACAGAGGUCUCAAGCGUUGUUCGGAUUCAUUGGGCGUAAAGGGUGCGUAGGCGGCGCGGUAAGUCGGGUGUGAAAUCUCGGAGCUUAACUCCGAAACUGCAUUCGAUACUGCCGUGCUUGAGGACUGGAGAGGAGACUGGAAUUUACGGUGUAGCGGUGAAAUGCGUAGAUAUCGGGAGGAAUACCGGUGGCGAAAGCGACUCUCUGGACGGCAACUGACGCUGAGGCACGAAAGCGUGGGGAGCAAACAGG